rnacentral:rRNA from 1 species
AGACGUCUACAUUAGAUACCCCCGUAGUCCCAGCCGUAAACUAUGCGCGUUAGGUGUAUCGGUGACCACGAGUUACCGAGGUGCCGAAGGAAACCGUGAAACGUGCCGCCUGGGAAGUACGGUCGCAAGGCUGAAACUUAAGGAAUUGGCGGGGAGCACCACAACAGGUGGAGCCUGCGGUUUAAUUGGACUCAACGCCGGGAAGCUCACCGGAUAAGACAGCGGAAUGAUUGCCGGGCUGAAGACUCUGCAUGACUAGCUG